GCGCUUUCUGGAUAGGCCAGGAAGCAUGCCUCUUUGAGUAUCGUUUUCACCUCAGCUCGAUGGCUCUUUUGUUUGUUUACUCAAUCAAGAGGUCCAUAUCGGAUAAUGAGUCUUUAUAUAUCUUGUCUUAACGGAUAAGUUACUUUAAAUAAAGUUUAAGCUCAUAUACAAUACCAAUGCUAUAUUAUAUAGUUCGGGUAUUUGAGAAUGUGGAUAAUUUAUUAUUUUAACACUCUCUUAUAUCCUUAUGCUAUACUAUGUAGUUUUUGUAUAUGCUUAAAUGUGGAAAUUAAUAACAAAACAAAAGCAUUUAAUUAUGUUUUUCGAAAGUAAGAUCUCAAAUGAAGUAAGACUACCCGCUGAACUUAAGCAUAUUAUUAAGCGGAGGAAAAGAAACUAACAAGGAUGCCCUCAGUAACGGCGAGUGAAGCGGGCAAAGCUCAACCUGAAAAUCAAAUAUCCAAGCGGGUGUUUGAAUUGUGGGCUAUAGAUGCAUGAUCAGUGUGUGACCUAAGCAUAAAUCUUUUGAAACAAGGUAUCAUAGAGGGUGAGAAUCCCGUCUUUGGCUUAGAGUUUUCGCCACGUACGAUCGGCAGUCAGAGAGUCGAGUUGUUUGGGAUUGCAGC
rnacentral:rRNA from 1 species